rnacentral:rRNA from 1 species
UACGGAGGGUGCAAGCGUUAUCCGGAUUCACUGGGUUUAAAGGGUGCGUAGGUGGCUUGGUAAGUUUGAUGUGAAAGCUCAGGGCUCAACCCUGAAAUGGCAUUGAAUACUACUGAGCUGGAGGUUUGGAGGGGGGACUGGAAUUCUCGGUGUAGCAGUGAAAUGCGUAGAUAUCGAGAGGAACACCAGUGGCGAAGGCGAGUCCCUGGACAACACCUGACACUGAGGCACGAAAGCUAGGGGAGCAAACAGG